ACAAACAAAUAGCAGGGGAGACACCAUGAUCAGGCAGGUGGUUUUCCCAGGGCGAGGCUCAUCCCUUGCACUCCGGGUGUGCUGACCCCUGCGAUUUCCCCAAAUGCGGGAAACUCGACUGCAUAAUUUGUGGUAGUGAGGGACUGCGUUCGCGCUCUCCCCUG
rfam:Nestor notabilis contig30589, whole genome shotgun sequence.